AACGAACGCUGGCGGCAGGCCUAACACAUGCAAGUCGAGCGAGGACUUCGGUCCUAGCGGCGGACGGGUGAGUAACGCGUGGGAACGUGCCCUUAGCUUCGGAAUAGCCCUGGGAAACUGGGAGUAAUACCGGAUGAGCCCUUUGGGGGAAAGAUUUAUCGGCGAAGGAUCGGCCCGCGUUGGAUUAGGUAGUUGGUGGGGUAAUGGCCUACCAAGCCGACGAUCCAUAGCUGGUUUGAGAGGAUGAUCAGCCACACUGGGACUGAGACACGGCCCAGACUCCUACGGGAGGCAGCAGUGGGGAAUCUUAGACAAUGGGGGAAACCCUGAUCUAGCCAUGCCGCGUGAGCGAUGAAGGCCUUAGGGUUGUAAAGCUCUUUCAGCUGGGAAGAUAAUGACGGUACCAGCAGAAGAAGCCCCGGCUAACUCCGUG
rnacentral:rRNA from 1 species